UACAGAGGUCCCAAGCGUUGUUCGGAUUCACUGGGCGUAAAGGGUGCGUAGGCGGUCGGGUAAGUCUGAUGUGAAAUCUCCAAGCCUAACUUGGAAACUGCAUUGGAUACUAUCCGGCUAGAGGAAUGGAGGGGAGACUGGAAUACUUGGUGUAGCAGUGAAACGCGUAGAUAUCAAGUGGAACACCAGUGGCGAAGGCGAGUCUCUGGACAUUUCCUGACACUGAGGCACGAAAGCCAGGGGAGCAAACGGG
rnacentral:rRNA from 1 species